rnacentral:lncRNA from 1 species
UUUUUGACAAUGACAGUUACAGGCCACGUGGUACGAUGAUUGGAUUUUACGUCCCUGAAAGCCAGCAAGUUUCCAGUUGCUCUUCUCCUUGUCCAUCAACAACCAUCGUUGUAUGUCGGCGUUUCGCUCUCUCUCUGUCUCUCUCUCUCUCUCUCGAAAGAGAGAAGGUAUGGUCGGGAUUUUCAUGGCCAUCCGCACGUUUUUCAGUGACCUAUCGUUAUCGUUUCAUGACUCAUGCGAAACAAGAUCGUGUGAAAGCCGAUUAUUCUUUGCCGCGAUCGCGAAUCACGAAUCGUAUGAAUUUUCGUUCCUCGGAUUCUCCGAAAAUUGAUAUAAAAGAGUAGGGACGACGGAGAGGCAGUAGGCAAAAUAUCGGUCGCACAACAGAGCGAAGAAGAAACACAGAGCGAUGAAAAACAAGAACGGAAGAUCCGUGAACAGAAGAGAAAGAAAGUGCUUAGAGGGAGGGAAAUAGAGAGAAAGUGAGGGGACGAGUCGGGAUUUGCGAGAGGAGAAGAGAUAGAAGGAAACGUUGGUAUAGAUAAACGGGGAGGAAAAUGAACAAAGAGGGAAAGGAAGAGGAAGAUGGAGAUAGAAUAUACAAAGAGGUAUGGAAGAAGAAGAAUGGAGCGAGAGAGGCGGGCAAAGUGGGGAUUGCCACGCCGUUUCGGUCGUCGCCACCGGCGCGCCUCUUCGUUCUACGAUCGAUUUUCCACGAUUUUUCACUCCAGUGUGCGGUGUCUUCUCGAGAAGAGGAGUAUCGGAGUACGUGGUGAACGAGACACGACAAAGUCGGCUCUCGUCUCGGCUCGUGAAGAAGACGCGAUAAGCGAGAACAGGCGAAGGAAACGCGUCUACAAACACGGCACUACACACACGUAUAUAACCAAUAGUCGCGCCUUCUCGCGUGCGACUGUGUAACGUGUUCUCCACAUCCCCUCCUCCUGCCCGUUCUCCCUCUCUGUCGCCACCUUUCUUCCUCUCACGCACAUUUCCUAGCGCACGUGUAUACCGGCUUGCUCGAAGUAGUGUGUAGCGUGGUUGGCAGUGCGCGCGCGCGUACACCCAUGCAUUCUCCCUCUUGCUCCAUCCCCUUUGCACGUACACGUUUUACACACAGCGCGCCAGUGUUUCGAACCUGUGUUUGUCAAGCGUGAGUUUCUCUCCCUCUCCGUGCCUAUCUGUCUGUUUUCUUCCCGGCUGGGAGCAAGUUGGAGUAGCGAGUGUAGAGAGCCGGAGUCACGAUUUACCGUACGCGCGAGAACGUUGUACGUUGGUAAUCGUGAGAGAUAGUUGUGUGUGCGUGCCAACGUUCGUGUUCCUCGCUGGAGAGCAGUGCGUUUUGUCACUCUCGCAGGAUCGCAACAGUGCUCCCUACUGCACGUCCCGUCACAUCGAAGGGAUCAGUUUCGAUCAGGUCUUUUCGUGGUUGAUCGCGAUUAGAUCCAUCGUUUCGUGAUAUACAUGAAUUCUUUGUGUAGUUGAAUUUGAAAUGGCGUUUGAUUCACCGCGCAAACGACGCCUAUCCAGUGCCAGUGACGCCUAGUGUGAGAAAGUUUGCAGUGAUUCGCACACAACGUACCGUACAGUAACAGUUACAUUUUUCUUCUAGCUGGACGAGAGAGAUACGCGAAAUGCAAAGAAUCGCGUGGCGAGCGAGGGACAGGCCGGCCGAUCGAUCGCUUUUCCUCUAAUCCCGUGCCCCCUUCCACCAGCGGAUUGAGGAAAACAUUUGGAAAAUGAUCAUAGUGCGCCAGUAACCAUCCCCAUUCGGGUCGAACGUUUCCGAACGAGAUCGGAACUUUCCGAGAGGCGAACUUUCGCUUCGUGGUUGGAACAAUCUCGUGCCAUGAGACGACGCAAACUGACGUGAACUCCAUUCCCCCCGUGGAGCACGGGCACCACGUUUUGAACGUGGCGCUGCACGCAGAGGCG